rnacentral:rRNA from 1 species
GUUGAACGCUGGCGGCAGGCCUAACACAUGCAAGUCGAGCGGUAGCACAGAGAGCUUGCUCUCGGGUGACGAGCGGCGGACGGGUGAGUAAUGUCUGGGAAACUGCCUGAUGGAGGGGGAUAACUACUGGAAACGGUAGCUAAUACCGCAUAACGUCGCAAGACCAAAGAGGGGGACCUUCGGGCCUCUUGACAUCAGAUGUGCCCAGAUGGGAUUAGCUAGUAGGUGGGGUAAUGGCUCACCUAGGCGACGAUCCCUAGCUGGUCUGAGAGGAUAACCAGCCACACUGGAACAGAGACACGGUCCAGACUCCUACGGGAGGCAGCAGUGGGGAAUAUUGCACAAUGGGCGCAAGCCUGAUGCAGCCAUGCCGCGUGUGUGAAGAAGGCCUUCGGGUUGUAAAGCACUUUCAGCGAGGAGGAAGGCGGUGAGGUUAAUAACCUCAUCGAUUGACGUUACUCGCAGAAGAAGCACCGGCUAACUCCGUGCCAGCAGCCGCGGUAA